GACGAACGCUGGCGGCGUGCUAACACAUGCAAGUCGAACGAUGAAGCCGGAGCUUGCUCUGGUGAAUUAGUGGCGAACGGGUGAGUAACACGUGAGUAACCUGCCCUUGACUCUGGGAUAACUGCGGGAAACUGUAGCUAAUACCGGAUACGACCCUCGGAGGCAUCUCCUGGGGGUGGAAAGAAUUUCGGUCAAGGAUGGACUCGCGGCCUAUCAGCUAGUUGGUGAGGUAAAGGCUCACCAAGGCGACGACGGGUAGCCGGCCUGAGAGGGUGAUCGGCCACACUGCGACUGAGACACGGCCCAGACUCCUACGGGAGGCAGCAGUGGGUAAUAGUGCGCAAUGGGCGCAAGCCUGAUGCAGCAACGCCGCGUGAGGGAUGACGGCCUUCGGGUUGUAAACCUCUUUUAGCAGGGAAGAAGCGAAAGUGACGGUACCUGCAGAAAAAGCACCGGCUAACUACGUGCCAGCCGCCGCAGUAA
rnacentral:rRNA from 1 species